UACGAAGGGGGCUAGCGUUGCUCGGAAUCACUGGGCGUAAAGCGCACGUAGGCGGCUCCUUAAGUCAGGGGUGAAAUCCUGGAGCUCAACUCCAGAACUGCCUUUGAUACUGAGGAGCUUGAGUCCGGGAGAGGUGAGUGGAACUGCGAGUGUAGAGGUGAAAUUCGUAGAUAUUCGCAAGAACACCAGUGGCGAAGGCGGCUCACUGGCCCGGUACUGACGCUGAGGUGCGAAAGCGUGGGGAGCGAACAGG
rnacentral:rRNA from 1 species